CCAAUAGCGUAUAUUAAUGUUGUUGCGGUUAAAAAGCUCGUAGUUGAACCUUGGGCCUGGCUGGCCGGUCCGCCUCACCGCGUGUACUGGUCCGGCCGGGCCUUUCCCUCUGUGGAACCUCAUGCCCUUCACUGGGUGUGGCGGGGAAGCAGGACUUUUACUGGGAAAAAAUUAGAGUGCUCCAAGCAGGCCUAUGCUCGAAUACAUUAGCAUGGAAUAAUAAAAUAGGACGUGCGGUUCUAUUUUGUUGGUUUCUAGGACAGCCGUAAUGAUUAAUAGGGACAGUCGGGGGCAUCAGUAUUCAAUUGUCAGAGGUGAAAUUCUUGGAUUUAUUGAAGACUAACUACUGCGAAAGCAUUUGCCAAGGAUGUUUUCAUUAAUCAGGAACGAAAGUUAGGGGAUCGAAGACGAUCAGAUACCGUCGUAGUCUUAACCAUAAACGAUGUCGACUAGCGAUCCGCGGCCGUUGUUCAUAUGACUUCGCGGGCAGCCUUCG
rnacentral:misc_RNA from 1 species